UUUUGUUCUUUCCAUGUGUGGAACUGAAUGUUUAUCUCCUACUGAAAUUUUAUGUACACAAGGUCAGAAGAAGCUCCAUAAACCUGAGAGCAAAGUAGCACCUUAAAUUCCAGACAGUGUCUUUCAACAUAGUCCUUACAGGCCUGGAACUCAGAGAUCCACCUGCUUCUUUCUGCCUGAAGGCUGGGACUAAGGACUUGGGCUACCAUAUCCAUAACUGCUUGUUGAUCAUGUGUGUUCACAGGCCUGUGGAGAUGUAACCCAGGCUUU